GAUAAACGCUGGCGGCGUGCCUAAUACAUGCAAGUCGAGCGAACGGACGAGAAGCUUGCUUCUCUGAUGUUAGCGGCGGACGGGUGAGUAACACGUGGAUAACCUACCUAUAAGACUGGGAUAACUUCGGGAAACCGGAGCUAAUACCGGAUAAUAUUUUGAACCGCAUGGUUCAAAAGUGAAAGACGGUCUUGCUGUCACUUAUAGAUGGAUCCGCGCUGCAUUAGCUAGUUGGUAAGGUAACGGCUUACCAAGGCAACGAUGCAUAGCCGACCUGAGAGGGUGAUCGGCCACACUGGAACUGAGGCACGGUCCAGACUCCUACGGGAGGCAGCAGUAGGGAAUCUUCCGCAAUGGGCGAAAGCCUGACGGAGCAACGCCGCGUGAGUGAUGAAGGUCUUCGGAUCGUAAAACUCUGUUAUUAGGGAAGAACAUAUGUGUAAGUAACUGUGCACAUCUUGACGGUACCUAAUCAGAAAGCCACGGCUAACUACGUGCCAGCAGCCGCGGUAAUACGUAGGUGGCAAGCGUUAUCCGGAAUUAUUGGGCGUAAAGCGCGCGUAGGCGGUUUUUUAAGUCUGAUGUGAAAGCCCACGGCUCAACCGUGGAGGGUCAUUGGAAACUGGAAAACUUGAGUGCAGAAGAGGAAAGUGGAAUUCCAUGUGUAGCGGUGAAAUGCGCAGAGAUAUGGAGGAACACCAGUGGCGAAGGCGACUUUCUGGUCUGUAACUGACGCUGAUGUGCGAAAGCGUGGGGAUCAAACAGGAUUAGAUACCCUGGUAGUCCACGCCGUAAACGAUGAGUGCUAAGUGUUAGGGGGUUUCCGCCCCUUAGUGCUGCAGCUAACGCAUUAAGCACUCCGCCUGGGGAGUACGACCGCAAGGUUGAAACUCAAAGGAAUUGACGGGGACCCGCACAAGCGGUGGAGCAUGUGGUUUAAUUCGAAGCAACGCGAAGAACCUUACCAAAUCUUGACAUCCUUUGACAACUCUAGAGAUAGAGCCUUCCCCUUCGGGGGACAAAGUGACAGGUGGUGCAUGGUUGUCGUCAGCUCGUGUCGUGAGAUGUUGGGUUAAGUCCCGCAACGAGCGCAACCCUUAAGCUUAGUUGCCAUCAUUAAGUUGGGCACUCUAAGUUGACUGCCGGUGACAAACCGGAGGAAGGUGGGGAUGACGUCAAAUCAUCAUGCCCCUUAUGAUUUGGGCUACACACGUGCUACAAUGGACAAUACAAAGGGCAGCGAAACCGCGAGGUCAAGCAAAUCCCAUAAAGUUGUUCUCAGUUCGGAUUGUAGUCUGCAACUCGACUACAUGAAGCUGGAAUCGCUAGUAAUCGUAGAUCAGCAUGCUACGGUGAAUACGUUCCCGGGUCU
rnacentral:rRNA from 1 species